rnacentral:misc_RNA from 1 species
AAAGUCGUAACAAGGUUUCCGUAGGUGAACCUGCGGAAGGAUCAUUAUCGAAUUUAAAGCUUGGUUGAGCUGUCGCUUCGGCGUACGUGCUCGCCUCGCCGUCCAUUCUCAACACCUGUGCACACUCGAGUCUUUGUCUUUAUACUGCCUAUCGCUUUUCUAUCUUAACUGAGGGAGAAGUGAGAAAGUGGGAUAUGGGAUAAAGGCUGCCUUUUAACACACCCUUCUUUUAAAAAUGUCCAUGAACGUCGAAUGUAGGCUCGCCUUAAAAACGUGAUGCUGAAAUUAAAAUUAAUACAACUUUUAACAACGGAUCUCUUGGCUCUC